rnacentral:rRNA from 1 species
AUUGAACGCUGGCGGCAGGCCUAACACAUGCAAGUCGAGCGGAUGAAGGGAGCUUGCUCCUGGAUUCAGCGGCGGACGGGUGAGUAAUGCCUAGGAAUCUGCCUGGUAGUGGGGGAUAACGUCCGGAAACGGGCGCUAAUACCGCAUACGUCCUGAGGGUGAACGUUGGGGAUCUUCGGACCUCACGCUAUCAGAUGAGCCUAGGUCGGAUUAGCUAGUUGGUGGGGUAAAGGCCUACCAAGGCGACGAUCCGUAACUGGUCUGAGAGGAUGGUCAGUCACACUGGAACUGAGACACGGUCCAGACUACUACGGGAGGCAGCAGUGGGGAAUAUUGGACUAUUGGCGGAAGCCUGAUCCAGCCAUGCCGCGUGUGUGAAGAAGGUCUUCGGAUUGUAAAUCACUUUAAGUUGGGAGGAAGGGCAGUAAGUUAAUACCUUGCUGUUUUGACGUUACCAACAGAAUAAGCACCGGCUAACUUCGUG